AGCAGCGUGGCUCAGUGGAAAGAGCACAGGCUUAGGACUCAGGGGUCAUGGGUUCUAAUCCCAGCUCUGCCA
rnacentral:tRNA from 1 species